CUAGAUCUGAAAAUUUUCUCAAAAUCAUUCCACAAGUUUCAAAUCUGAUUUUGAAUUUCAAAUUCCCAAAAGCUUCAAAACCAAAACAAAAAAAGUAAAAUAUAAGAAAACUACAAAAAAUAGAGUACUAUUACAUUGAAGUAUUAGAUCAAUUACAUGUUAAUUGUUUAUUCUGAUUCCUACUGAUUCUAGGUUCGAAUUCGAGCUAUUUUGGGUAUUAGUCAAACUGUUUUGGGUAGUUUACUGGCAGAGGUCGUUCUGGGUGAAAUUUCAAGUUUGCUGGGUUUUAAUUGAGUCUUAUUUGAGCAUUCAGUUGGUGCUGCUUCUUAUUCUUUCACUUCUGGGUCAUUGAGGCUAUUCUAGGGUCGAAUCUGACCCUGUGCUGCUUGAAUUUUGGUUAUUGUGGCCUGCUAGUUACUGAUGCUGAUACUUCAUUCUCAUUUUUCACAUUUCCAG
rnacentral:lncRNA from 1 species